AGGAAACAGAUGUGAGGGAAAGAGAAACCAGAGAGAUUCCAAGCAUGAGAAGGAUUUGGUGUCCUGUCACUAGUUCUGAGAUGUAGGGGCCCACGUGCAAUACCUGGAGAGAGGCCUCUAGGAGGUGAGGGUGGCCGCCAGCCGACAGACUCAAGGAAAUAGGGCCUUAGUCCCACAACUGCAAAGAACUGGAUUCUGCCAACAGCCUCUGUGAGCUUGGAAGAAGAUUCUUCCCCAGAGCCACCAAUAGUGGACAAAGCUCUCAUGACACCUUGACUUUAGGCUGGAGUUCAAAUGACCUGCAUCGAUUAUCUUCAGGGACAUUGAAGUGUGCUCCGCAGACAGUGAUAACAUGCCCAGGAUAUUACACUCAGAACCAUGUGAAGUUUGUGUCUUGGUUUGGAAUUUUGGGUCACACAUUGGCCAAGUAGGAAGUGUGCAUUCAACUGCCAACCUGCAAGGACGCAGCUCGGCCUGAGGGAGAUGUUUUCCUUCGCCUGGAGCUGAGCUGCGGACAGUUCCGUUUAUUUGCCAUCUCCCUUUUUUCAGAAACAGCUGCAAGAUGGACUUGAAGAAUAGGAAAUGUGCUGGAGACCCGAACUAGCCCUUGCCAGGAACUCAAGUUAAAACUCUCCUUGGGGCCAGCUCCGUAGCCAAGUGGUUAAGUUCACGUGCUCUGCUGCGGGGGCCCAGGGUUAGGAUCCUGGGCGCGGACAUGGCACCGCUCGUCAGGCCACGUUGAGAUGGCGUCCCACAUCCCACAACUAGAAGGACCUGCAACUAAGAUGUACAAUUAUGCACCGGCAGGGUUUGGGAAAUAAAGCAGAAAAAAAACAAAGUUAUAAAAAAAAAA
rnacentral:lncRNA from 1 species